GCCCGGAUGGCGAAAUUGGUAGACGCAAGGGAUUUAAAAUCCCUCGAUUGAAAGAUCGUGCCGGUUCGAUUCCGGCUCCGGGCACCA
rnacentral:tRNA from 1 species